rnacentral:rRNA from 1 species
GGUGUGCACCGGUCGGCUCGUCCCUUCUGCCGGCGAUGCGCUCCUGUCCUUAACUGGCCGGGUCGUGCCUCCCGGUGCUGUUACUUUGAAGAAUUAGAGUGCUCAAAGCAAGCCUACGCUCUGUAUACAUUAGCAUGGGAUACACCACAGGAUUCUGAUCCUAUUGUGUUGGGCCUUCGGGAUCGGAGUAAUGAUUAACCAGGGACAGUCGGGGGCAUUCGUAUUUUCAUAGUUCAGAGUGAAAUUCUGGAUUUUGAAAGACGAACAACUGCGAAAAGCAUUUGCCAAGGAUGUUUUCAUUAAUCCAAGAACGAAAGUUGGGGGCUCGAAGACGAUCAGAUACCGUCCUAGUCUCAACCAUAAACGAUGCCGACCAGGGAUCAGCGGAUGUUGCUUUUAGGACUCCGCUGGCACCUUAUGAGAAAUCAAAGUCUUUGGGUUCCGGGGGGAGUAUGGUCGCAAGGCUGAAACUUAAAGGAAUUGACGGAAGGGCACCACCAGGAGUGGAGCUGCGGCUUAAUUUGACUCAACACGGGGAAACUUACCAGGUCCAGACAUAGUAAGGAUUGACAGACUGAGAGCUCUAAAAAUGAAAAAAAUGGGUGGUGGUGCAUGGCCGUUCUUAGUUGGUGGAGCGAUUUGUCUGCCCCCCUUCCGUUAACGAACGAGACCUCAGCCUGCUAAAUAGCUAUGUGGAGGUAACCCUCCACGGCCAGCUUCUUAGAGGGACUAUGGC